GGUAACGUUGUUAGCGGUGCUGGUCACGGCGUAUUGGCUGCCGGACAGGCUGCCGCCAUAGAAGCCGCCGCUGUUGGAGUCGGUGACGUUACCG
rnacentral:tRNA from 1 species